ACGUAGAGUACUCGGCUUUUAA
rnacentral:tRNA from 1 species